rnacentral:rRNA from 1 species
AUUGAACGCUGGCGGCAGGCCUAACACAUGCAAGUCGAGCGGAGCGGCGGACGGGUGAGUAAGGCCUAGGACUCUGCCUGGUAGUGGGGGAUAACGUCCGGAACCGGGCGCUAAUACUGCAUACUAUCCGAUGAGCCUAUGUCGGAUUAGCUAGUUGGUGGGGUAAAGGCCUACCAAGGCCACGAUCCGUAACUGGUCUGAGAGGAUGAUCAGUCACACUGGAACUGAGACACGGUCCAGACUCCUACGGGAGGCAGCAGUGGGGAAUAUUGGGCAAUGGGCGAAAGCCUGAUCCAGCCAUGCCGCGUGAGUGAAGAAGGUCUUCGGAUUGUAAAGCACUUUAAGUUGGGAGGCGUUACCAAAAGAAUAAGCACCGGCUAACUACGUGCCAGCAGCCGCGGUAAUAC